UGGAGAGUUUGAUCCUGGCUCAGAUUGAACGCUGGCGGCAGGCCUAACACAUGCAAGUCGAGCGGUAACACAGGGAGCUUGCUCYYGGGUGACGAGCGGCGGACGGGUGAGUAAUGUCUGGGAAACUGCCUGAUGGAGGGGGAUAACUACUGGAAACGGUAGCUAAUACCGCAUAAYGUCGCAAGACCAAAGAGGGGGACCUUCGGGCCUCUUGCCAUCAGAUGUGCCCAGAUGGGAUUAGCUAGUAGGUGGGGUAACGGCUCACCUAGGCGACGAUCCCUAGCUGGUCUGAGAGGAUGACCAGCCACACUGGAACUGAGACACGGUCCAGACUCCUACGGGAGGCAGCAGUGGGGAAUAUUGCACAAUGGGCGCAAGCCUGAUGCAGCCAUGCCGCGUGUAUGAAGAAGGCCUUCGGGUUGUAAAGUACUUUCAGCGGGGAGGAAGGUGUUGAGGUUAAUAACCUCAGCAAUUGACGUUACCCGCAGAAGAAGCACCGGCUAACUCCGUGCCAGCAGCCGCGGUA
rnacentral:rRNA from 1 species